GGGGAAUAUUGGGCAAUGGGCGAAAGCCUGACCCAGCAACGCCGCGUGAGGGAAGAAGGGUUUCGGCUCGUAAACCUCUGUCCUAUGGGACGAAGGAAGUGACGGUACCAUAGGAGGAAGCCCCGGCUAACUACGUGCCAGCAGCCGCGGUAAUACGUAGGGGGCGAGCGUUGUCCGGAAUGAUUGGGCGUAAAGGGCGCGUAGGCGGCCUGCUAAGUCUGGAGUGAAAGUCCUGCUUUCAAGGUGGGAAUUGCUUUGGAUACUGGUGGGCUGGAGUGCAGGAGAGGAAAGCGGAAUUACCGGUGUAGCGGUGAAAUGCGUAGAGAUCGGUAGGAACACCAGUGGCGAAGGCGGCUUUCUGGACUGAAACUGACGCUGAGGCGCGAAAGCGUGGGGAGCAAAC
rnacentral:rRNA from 1 species